rnacentral:rRNA from 1 species
UUACGGACAGUGCCUGGUGGGUAGUUUGACUGGGGCGGUCUCCUCCCAAAGAGUAACGGAGGAGCACGAAGGUGGGCUAAACACGGUUGGACAUCGUGUGGUUAGUGCAAUGGCAUAAGCCCGCUUGACUGCGAGAAUGACAAUUCGAGCAGGUGCGAAAGCAGGUCAUAGUGAUCCGGUGGUUCUGAAUGGAAGGGCCAUCGCUCAACGGAUAAAAGGUACUCCGGGGAUAACAGGCUGAUACCGCCCAAGAGUUCAUAUCGACGGCGGUGUUUGGCACCUCGAUGUCGGCUCAUCACAUCCUGGGGCUGAAGUCGGUCCCAAGGGUAUGGCUGUUCGCCAUUUAAAGUGGUACGCGAGCUGGGUUUAGAACGUCGUGAGACAGUUCGGUCCCUAUCUGCCGUGGGCGUUGGAAAAUUGAAAGGGGCUGCUCCUAGUACGAGAGGACCGGAGUGGACGAACCUCUGGUGUUCGGGUUGUCAUGCCAAUGGCAUUGCCCGGUAGCUACGUUCGGAAUCGAUAAGCGCUGAAAGCAUCUAAGCGCGAAGCGAGCCUUGAGAUGAGUUUUCCCUGGCACUAUAAGUGUCCUAAAGGGUUGUCGUAGACUACGACGUUGAUAGGCAGGGUGUGUAAGUGCUGCGAGGCAUUGAGCUAACCUGUACUAAUUGCCCGUGAGGCUUAACCAUACAACACCCAAGGGGUUU